rnacentral:rRNA from 1 species
UAGAAUAUUUCAUUUACCCUAUAAGCACCAAAUCUCAUCUGAUCUCAGAAGUCAAGCAGGGCCAGCCCUGGUUAGCACUGGGAUGAGAGACCACCAAGGAAUAUCAGGUGCAAGGCUAUAU